rnacentral:rRNA from 1 species
GACGAACGCUGGCGGCGUGCCUAAUACAUGCAAGUUGAGCGCUGAAGGUUGGUACUUGUACCAACUGGAUGAGCAGCGAACGGGUGAGUAACGCGUGGGGAAUCUGCCUUUGAGCGGGGGACAACAUUUGGAAACGAAUGCUAAUACCGCAUAAAAACUUUAAACACAAGUUUUAAGUUUGAAAGAUGCAAUUGCAUCACUCAAAGAUGAUCCCGCGUUGUAUUAGCUAGUUGGUGAGGUAAAGGCUCACCAAGGCGAUGAUACGUAGCCGACCUGAGAGGGGGAUCGGCCACAUUGGGACUGAGACACGGCCCAAACUCCUACGGGAGGCAGCAGUAGGGAAUCUUCGGCAAUGGACGAAAGUCUGACCGAGCAACGCCGCGUGAGUGAAGAAGGGUUUCGGAUCGUAAAACUCUGUUGGUAGAGAAGAACGGUGGUGAGAGUGGAAAGCUCAUCAAGUGACGGUAACUACCCAGAAAGGGACGGCUAACUACGUG